rnacentral:rRNA from 1 species
CGGGGUGAGUAACGCGUGGAUAACCUGCCUCACACUGGGGGAUAACAGUUAGAAAUGACUGCUAAUACCGCAUAAGCACACAGUACCGCAUGGUACAGUGUGAAAAACUCCGGUGGUGUGAGAUGGAUCCGCGUCUGAUUAGCCAGUUGGCGGGGUAACGGCCCACCAAAGCGACGAUCAGUAGCCGACCUGAGAGGGUGACCGGCCACAUUGGGACUGAGACACGGCCCAA